rnacentral:rRNA from 1 species
GAUGAACGCUGGCGGCGUGCCUAAUACAUGCAAGUCGAGCGAACGGACGAGGAGCUUGCUCCUCUGACGUUAGCGGCGGACGGGUGAGUAACACGUGGAUAACCUACCUAUAAGACUGGGAUAACUUCGGGAAACCGGAGCUAAUACCGGAUGAUAUAUUGAACCGCAUGGUUCAAUAGUGAAAGACGGUUUUGCUGUCACUUAUAGAUGGAUCCGCGCCGCAUUAGCUAGUUGGUAAGGUAACGGCUUACCAAGGCAACGAUGCAUAGCCGACCUGAGAGGGUGAUCGGCCACACUGGAACUGAGACACGGUCCAGACUCCUACGGGAGGCAGCAGUAGGGAAUCUUCCGCAAUGGGCGAAAGCCUGACGGAGCAACGCCGCGUGAGUGAUGAAGGUCUUCGGAUCGUAAAACUCUGUUAUUAGGGAAGAACAAAUGUGUAAGUAACUAUGCACGUCUUGACGGUACCUAAUCAGAAAGCCACGGCUAACUACGUG